UCACUAUACCUUACAGGACCACUCCAAGA
rnacentral:piRNA from 1 species